rnacentral:misc_RNA from 1 species
GGGGGGUGGGGUGUUGGGGGGCUUUCGGCCGAAGUCCAACCAUACAAUUCAACCAAAACCCAUAGGUCCAGAAAUGAACCCGGUCCACUAAAGCAACAAAGAGAUCCAAAACCUAAAACUCUAAAGGCAUGUCGAGGAAGAAACUGAAACUCGUUGUCGGAGCUUCGCUGCCAAAAACCAUCAGAGGACAAAAAAGGCACUCCAUAGGAAAUCCACAACUACUAAUCGUACUAAAUAGCAUAAGAAAGAACCAAAAUCAAACCCCAACCAUAGCCAAACUAAGGAGAUCAACACAAGGAGACCCAAAAAAAACAAAGAGAGAGCUCUUUCAGCUAGAUUGUCCGCUCCUCUGUUGCCUAAGAAAACAAACGAGCCCAUCAACAGCUUGAGCUUCUUGUGCUGAACCACUCAGCGAGGACAACAGAGUCAGUCUCCAAUUCAGCGCUGGAUGACACAAGGCAACCACCAACAACAUUUUUAACCCACUUGACGCCAUCCUCGAUAAAAUAAAAAAAAACCACCACUUCUAAGGUCUCGCCAUGGCUACCCCCUUAACCAAAUCUGUUCCUAAAAACCCUACCCAUGCAAGCUACCAAAUCUAUAAGAUAAACCAACAAAACCCAAAACUAUAAACAACUCAAACAAGGGAAGAGAGGGAGACCCUAUACGCAGUCGGAGAAACCACCAUCCUUUGCCCCAAGGGUAGGGGAUGAACACCGAAAAUAAAAUCUCAGCUAAAUUGAGGAAGAAACGAAAGC